GACGAACGCUGGCGGCGUGCUUAACACAUGCAAGUCGAACGGAAGGGCCCUGCUUUUGUGGGGUGCUCGAGUGGCGAACGGGUGAGUAACACGUGAGUAACCUGCCCUUGACUUUGGGAUAACUUCAGGAAACUGGGGCUAAUACCGGAUAGGAGCUCCUGCUGCAUGGUGGGGGUUGGAAAGUUUCGGCGGUUGGGGAUGGACUCGCGGCUUAUCAGCUUGUUGGUGGGGUAGUGGCUUACCAAGGCUUUGACGGGUAGCCGGCCUGAGAGGGUGACCGGCGACAUUGGGACUGAGAUACGGCCCAGACUCCUACGGGAGGCAGCAGUGGGGAAUAUGGCACAAUGGGCGGAAGCCUGAUGCAGCAACGCCGCGUGCGGGAUGACGGCCUUCGGGUUGUAAACCGCUUUCGCCUGUGACGAAGCGUGAGUGACGGUAAUGGGUAAAGAAGCACCGGCUAACUACGUG
rnacentral:rRNA from 1 species